GUGCCCAAUUGCGAAGCAGCGAGCUGGACAUAGAUGUUGCUAUUUUAAGCGAGCAGUGUAAAAACAGGGUACUGAAAACGAGAGAUGGCACAUGACGAUACAAGAACUGCCCAAGCCAGAAAUAUAAAUAGCGACCCUCGUAUUCCCAACAUCAAUAUACCAGCAGAUUAUAAUGAAGUUACGUUUCCUCACGGCAACUGGAUUUCCCGGCAUCUUAGAAGUUAUGCAGACUGCGUUCAAGUCGAAUUGAGUAUAUAAGGUGGCGCCAUUAGAAAACAGUUUCUUUAUAUUUCGCGAUUUUGACAAGUUGACGUCAUCUCUUUUCGCAAUACAAAACAAACGCACGAAACAAACAAAAGCAGGAGAUAUUACAUGUUUGUGAAAAUUCAAUGAAUGGCUUGGUAAUAUUGUGAUUUGUGAGAUUUAAACUUAUCAAACUAAUGAACACGAAGUGCCGUGUGUUACAUUGUGAAAGCACAAUGUGAUAUAAAGCCUCCAAAUUCAGUUUGCUUGCGUGUUUAUGCGGAAGACGCCGUGGCAAGAAAGUAUGUGUGUGCGUGUUAAAUAAAUCUUCCCAUUUUUCAAUUCAUGUUUAAAAUUUAAUAAACAUGUUUUUUAUUCCACAUAUUUUCC